UCCUCUACAAAGAUGGCAAUUAUCUUUGGCUAGCAGGUCUCUUUCUUGUGCUUUGCUUAAUAUUUAUAGUCAGAAUGGUUUUGGACAAAGUUAUAUUUUUAUUACAAAUUUCAAAAAGUUUUGUAUAAUUUCAAUAUAGGCAGAGUAUUGACACUGUCAGAAAAGCAUCUCAAAGGCAGCAUUUUGUCCUCUAAAUAACUAUUGAUUAGAGAAAUGUAAAUUAAAACAACUCUGCAAUAUCAUCUCAUACUUAUCAGAUUGGUUAAUAUGAUACAAAAGAUAAAUGAUGAAUGCUGAAGAAGAUAUCAGAAAAUUGGGACAUUGAUGCAUUGUUAAUGGAGUUGUGAACUGAUCCAACCAUGCUAAAGAGCAAUUUGGAAUUAUGGCCAAAGAGUAAUCAAACUGCAUACUCUUUGACCCAACAAUACCACUAAGUCUAUAUCGUAAAGAGACCAUAAAAAGGGGAAGAAAAGACUUCUAUGUAUAAAAAUAUUUUUAGCAAUUCUUUUUGUGGUGGCAAAAAAUUGGAAAUUGAGGAGAUGUCAAUCAAUUGGGGAAUGGGUAAACAAGUUAUGGUAUAUGAAUGUAAUAGAUUACUAUUCUGGUACAAGAAAUGAUGAGUAGGCAGAUUUCAGAAAACUGGAAAGAAUUACAUGCACUGGUACAAAGUGAAGUGAACGGAACCAAAAUGUUUUACAUAAUAUCAGCAACAAGGGGCAAUGUCCAACUACAAUAGAUCUAGUAGCUCUUUUCAUCAACAAAAUACUGUAAGUCCAAAAAACUCAUAGAAAAUGUUCUCCAUAGCCAUAGAAGGAACUGAUGGAGUUUGAAUGCAGCUCAAAGAAUUUAUUUUAUUUUAUUUUUAAUUGUUUUCUCCUUUCAUUCUGUUUCUUCUUUCACAUCAUGAUUAAUAGAGAAAUAUGUUUUGCUUAAUUGUACAUAUAUAACCGACAUCAAAUUACCUUCUUAGGGAGGGAAGAGGAAAUGGAGAAAGAAAAUUUGUAACUCAAAAUUAAAAUAAAAAAAAGAAUGUUAAAAAUUGUUUUUACACAUAAUUGGAAAAUUAAAAUACCAUUUUAAAGAAAAAAAAACACAGCAUUUUGUUUUACCAGAUCAUUUUUGUAGCCAAU
rnacentral:lncRNA from 1 species